UCUUGCCGGUGCAGCGUAUAUCCCGCUAGCUGAAUAUCGAUGUCGUCAUUCAGCCAUGAUUCGGUGAAACAUAGGAUAUUACAGUUUUUGAUGUCCCGUUGGUAGGACCUCAGUACCGCGUCUAAUUUAUUGUCCAAUGAUUCCAAGUUGGCGAGUAGUAUUGACGGUAACGGCAACUUUCCCAGUCGCCUUCUCAGGGUCCUGACCAGGCAUCCGGCUCUUUGUGUUCUGUACCUGCGUCGUUUCCUCUUGCAAAUAACGGGGAUGUCGGUCCUGUGGGGUGUUUGGAGAAUGUCUUGUGUGUCGUCUUUGUUGUAGAAAAAAACUCUCUAAUCCGAGUUUCCCAGCCAACUUGACACAACUGUGGGAAGCAUUGGAGUCAACAUGGGCCAGCCUCCCUGUGGAACACUUUCGACACCUUGUAGAAUCCAUGCCCCGAUGGAUUGAGGCUGUUGGAAGGCAAAAGGGGAUUGCAGGAAAUGGCAGAUACGCAAAAUGAUUUGAGUUAUGACAUCAGUGAGAAGCCACACGGAGGAAACCUCACUCCCCGGCCAGACAUACUUGUAGAGAUUAUCUCAUCUGGCUGAGCUGUGUGUUGGUACUGUCUGCAUUGUGUUUGCCUGGGAAAGAGGACAGCCAGACCAUGAAACCAUCAGCACCUGUCCUAGAAGAGCCUCAAUGCUGAUGAGCGAGGGGAGGCUUGGGAGAGGCCAGGGGGACAGUCCCUGUGGAUUGACGGGACAGGCUGGGGCCUGAGGAGGGACAGCAGCCCUGCAGCCCCUGGGGCUCUCAAAGCUCUCUUUUAUUGGGGUUGGGGGUGCAGAGGGGGUGGCUCUGGGGCUGAUAUUGUGCUACCUGGGUGCCUGGCUGGCUGACCCCUUCUCCUCCCUGCAUCUGCUGGGUUGGCACCCCUGGGACCACAGGUUAUCUCCCUAGGAAAUCACCUUGACCUCCACACAGCAGAACAAUCAGGAAUGAGUCAACAGGCAGGCAGAGGGAUUAUAGAGCUGAAUUUAGAUAUGUGUUAGGAGAAAAGGGCAGUUCUAACUAUGAUUUCUCAAUACAGGGUCCAAUUCUGUAGCAUGCAAGCAGUUACAUGACUGACAUGGUGUAAUGCAAAAGUACUAUUUAACCAUGUAAAAUGUCGAAAAUGUUUCAGAUAUCACACUAUCAGAACUUAAAACCUACCUUACAUAAACAGACUCAAAAAACAUUCCUCUGAGGCAUAACUGGGGGAAAAGGCAAGGCUACAGUUACAUGCAUGUACAUAUUCUUAAACAACCAUGUAUAUAAUGGUACUACAUAGCACCCCUAACAUUAUCCCUAAAUACUGUGAUAUGUUAGUAAGCAUUCAGUCAGCAGCCAUUUGGCAAGGAAACGCAAUGAAAGGGCUUCUGUUGGAGAGGCAGGGUAAUAGAGAUAUGCCUAAGGCCACCCCGUUGCAGAGUGAAGCACGAACCGGCGUACACACAGAAACACACAGUCAUC